AGCGGAGGAAAAGAAACUAACAAGGAKGGCGCUUAGUAACGGCGAGCGAACCGCGCAAAGCCCAACUUGAAAAUCUCCCUCGGAGAAUUGUAGUCUAUAGAAGUACCCUCUGCAACGGGCUGAGCUAAAGUCUCCUGGAAAGGGGCGUCAGAGAGGGUGAGAACCCCGUAAGCUCACGCUUCGUUGCCUCACGAGGUGCUUUCGAAGAGUCGGGUUGCUUGGGAAUGCAGCCCAAAUUUGGUGGUAAAUCCCAUCUAAGGCUAAAUACUGGCGAGAGACCGAUAGCGAACAAGUACCGUGAGGGAAAGAUGAAAAGAACUUUGAAAAGAGAGUUAAAUAGUGCUUGAAAUUGUUGAGGGGGAAGCGUUUGAAUGCUCGAGUGCGCUCAGGCUUAUGGGUCCUUAACGGGGCUCUGUAUGUGCUGAGUGCUGGCCAGCAUGGGUUAGGCUAGUGGGACAAAAGCGUGGGUUGAUACCAUGCCGCUGCCACUGGCUUGACCAAGGCGUGAAGACUGCCCUUGUCCUUCGGGAACUGCAGUCUCAAGAUGCUGGUGAAAGGCUUUCAACCGACCCGUCUUGAAACACGGACCAAGGAGUCUAACAUGUAUGCGAGUUGGUGGGUGGAAAACCCAUGAAGCGUAAGGAAACUGACUGGUGGGAUGGCCUGUGCCUGCACCAUCGACCGACCAUGCGUUUCUGCAAAAGGUUUGAGUGCGAGCAUACCUGUUGGGACCCGAAAGAUGGUGAACUAUGCCUGAGCAGGGUGAAGCCAGGUGAAAACCUGGUGGAGGCUCGUAGAUGUGCUGACGUGCAAAUCGCUUWUCGGACGUUGAGGUAUAGGGGCGAAAGACUAAUCGAACCUUCUAGUA
rnacentral:rRNA from 1 species